rnacentral:rRNA from 1 species
GCCAGACUCCUACGGGAGGCAGCAGUGGGGGAUAUUGCACAAUGGGGGGAACCCUGAUGCAGCGACGCCGCGUGGGUGAAGGAGCGUUUCGGCGCGUAAAGCCCUCUCGGCAGGGAAGAAGAUGACGGUACCUGACCAAGAAGCCCCGGCUAACUACGUGCCAGCAGCCGCGGUAAUACGUAGGGGGCAAGCGUUAUCCGGAUUUACUGGGUGUAAAGGGAGCGUAGACGGUUAUGUAAGUCUGGAGUGAAAGCCCGGGGCCCAACCCCGGGACUGCUUUGGAAACUGUGUAACUAGAGUACAGGAGGGGCAGGCGGAAUUCCUGGUGUAGCGGUGAAAUGCGUAGAUAUCAGGAGGAACACCGGCGGCGAAGGCGGCCUGCUGGACUGAAACUGACGUUGAGGCUCGAAAGCGUGGGGAGCAAACAGGAUUAGAUACCCGUGUA